AUUGAACGCUGGCGGCAUGCUUUACACAUGCAAGUCGAACGGUAACAGGGUGCUUGCACCGCUGACGAGUGGCGAACGGGUGAGUAAUGCGUCGGAACGUGCCGAGUAGUGGGGGAUAACGCAGCGAAAGUUGUGCUAAUACCGCAUACGUACUGAGGUAGAAAGUGGGGGACCUUCGGGCCUCACGCUAUUCGAGCGGCCGACGUCUGAUUAGCUAGUAGGUGAGGUAAAGGCUCACCUAGGCGACGAUCAGUAGCGGGUCUGAGAGGAUGAUCCGGCACACUGGGACUGAGACACGGCCCAGACUCCUACGGGAGGCAGCAGUGGGGAAUUUUGGACAAUGGGCGAAAGCCUGAUCCAGCCAUGCCGCGUGUCUGAAGAAGGCCUUCGGGUUGUAAAGGACUUUUGUCAGGGAGGAAAUCCCUAGCGUUAAUACCGCUGGGGGAUGACAGUACCUGAAGAAUAAGCACCGGCUAACUACGUGCCAGCAGCCGCCGUAA
rnacentral:rRNA from 1 species